CCCUUUAAAACAUACCUCUGACAGCUCCUUCUCUGGGCAAGUCGCAUGAGCCUCUCCUCUCAAGUCUCACCAGGAAUUUAAGAGUAAUUCCCAAAUUGCUUCUGGGCCUUGACUUUCUGUCAUCUAUUCAAAUGUCAAAACCUUUUCCUGGAAGAAUGUGCUACACCUGCUGCAGCUCCAGUUAUGCCCUUGAUAAAAUCAGUCAGAAUUAUUUGCUAUACAAGAGUCAUUCAUUGAUUUGUCCAUCCUUUCUAUAAGCAUUUCCUGAACAUCUAUUAUGAGCAAGAUACCACAUUGGAUGCUAGAUAAAAAGAACAGAGAAAUAAAGUCUAUUCUUAAAGGCAGCACAGUCAAGGGAGGUAUGGACAAGUGAAUAAAGUGUGACAGUCACUGUGAUGAGGGCUAUGCUAAAGGAGAAAGGCAAUUAGUAAAUGUAGAAGAAGAAAUGGAAUUUGAAAAUCACUAUUUGGCCACCAUCAUGGUAAUAAUUGCUUGAGUCAAGAAUCAUCAGUGGAUCAUUCUAAUGGGUGGAAGUUUAACCACUAACAGGAUAUUUCAUGGUCUCAAAGCCUCUUCCCACAAGAUGUUUAUAAUAAAAAAUAAAAAGCAGAAACUUCAGAGCAAGGAAGAGAAUCAUCCUUGGCAAUA
rnacentral:lncRNA from 1 species